rnacentral:rRNA from 1 species
GUGACCAAGUUAAACGGCCGCGGUACCCUAACCGUGCGAAGGUAGCGCAAUCACUUGUUCUUUAAAUGAGGACUAGUAUGAACGGCAUCACGAGGGUUACACUGUCUCCCACCUCUAAUCAGUGAAACUGAUCCCCCCGUGAAGAAGCGGGGAUAAACUUAUAAGACGAGAAGACCCCAUGGAGCUUUAAACUCAGUACCAAUCACCUAUAACCACACCACAAUAACCCGGUGAUCCUGAUUACUAGUUUUAGGUUGGGGUGACCACGGAGCAUAACUAAACCUCCAUGUUGAAAAACUUCCUCUAAUCCAAGAGUGACAACUCUAAGAAUCAAAAACCGACAUACAUUGACCCA